GUAAACCCCACUCUACUGAGCUAGCAGGGAAGCCAAGCUGGCCGUCGGUAGUGGUGUACUGUUUUAGUUUGCCGUGAAACAGUCUGUUUAGAGUAGUACAUAUGUUUGACUAGAGGCUUGUUUUGAAAUAUUAGCUUGAACUUGAGUCGGGAAUUCAUCCAAAUUCACUGAUAUAGGAAGAUUAUCUCUCCACAGUAAACUGAAAGGUUACAGAAGGAAAGCUUGCUAGUUAUUUUUUGGCUUAGCUAACGUUACCCAUGGUAGCCAUGUAACUGUUAGCUAUGCUAACGUUUGUUAGUUCAGAUCAUGCCUGCCUAGCUUCCCAUAGUAUGUGGGUUUAGUUCUAACGUUAACACGGUUGAUUUAACAAGCCGUUUAAGAAUAACGAUAGCAUGUUGAUUAGGCUUUAUGUGAAGGUUUGUCGAGCUCUCAUCUGACGUUAUGAUACGAUGCUAGUAUCUAUAACGUUAGCUUGCGAUAACGUUAAUAUAUUGUGUCGUGGCAUGGAAAAAAGACAGGCAUUGAUUGUCUUUUCAUCAACCAACCAGUACAUUUGCUGACGAGGUUAACGUUAGCACCGGCAAGUAAGAGCAGUUCAAAAGGGCUCUUAUGUGGAACAAGUUAGCUAAGCUUCCAUUACCACAGUGUUAAUAACCUAACCCAAACUAAUCGGUGGUUAAGUUUUUCGUUAGCUGCUGGCCGUGGUGCUGGAAGAGGGUUUAAUUAGCUAGGGAUAUCCAGCUGAUUGAGCCGAAUCCCCUUGAUGGAACGACAACUCGUUAGCAGGCAGUGCCCCCUGGACCCCGGCCAGCCCCAGCAGCUCCCUCUCCUGCUGGCCUAGAUGCCCCAGGCCCAGGCUGGCGGCCGGAGUGACGCGGUUGGGCGAAGCCGAGACCAUGGUCCUGAAUGGCAGGCGGCAGCAGAGCAGCCGCGUCUCCGGGCAGCAGGCGGGAGGGCAGGCCCGGCCCCCCUCCUCCUCCUCCUCCUCCUCCUCCACCUCCUCCCAGCGCCCCCAGCUACGCCACAGCAGGAGCUCCCCCAGCACACGGAGGGCCAGCCGCAGCCGCAGGUUGGGUGCGGGGGCUCUUGAGGGGGAGCGGCGCCAUGCUCCGUCCUCGGCGAUGAAGGCCAGGGAGCUGUGUGAGAAUGACGACCUGUCCACCUGCCUCAUCGUCGACCCCUACCUGGGCUUCCAGACUCACAAGAUGAACCCAAGGUUUCGGCCAAUCAAAGGCAGACAGGAGGAACUGAAGGAUGUGAUUGAGCGCUUCAAGAAGCACGACAACCUGGAGAAAGCCUUCAAGGCCCUGACGGCAGGAGACUGGACCCGCAGCCACCUCCAGCACAAGAGCAAAGCCCAGGAGAAACUCUUCAAAGAGCACGUAUUUGUUUACUUGCGCAUGUUUGCAACCAACAGCGGGUUCGAGAUUUUACCCUGUAACCGCUACUCGUCAGAGAUGAACGGAGCCAAAAUAGUUGCAACUAAAGAGUGGAAGCGUAAUGAUAAGAUUGAGUAUCUGGUGGGCUGCAUCGCCGAGAUGUCUGCCAGCGAGGAGAAGAACCUGCUGCGGCACGGCGAGAACGACUUCAGCGUCAUGUACUCCACACGCAAGAACUGCGCUCAGCUGUGGCUGGGGCCCGCUGCAUUUAUUAACCAUGACUGCCGGCCAAACUGUAAGUUCGUCUCCACAGGCAGAGACUCAGCGUGUGUCAAAGUUCUCCGAGAUAUCGAGCCAGGCGAAGAAAUCUCUUGUUACUAUGGAGACGGCUUCUUUGGGGACAACAAUGAGUAUUGUGAAUGCUACACCUGUGAAAGACGAGGCACGGGCGCGUUUAAGUCGAAGGCUGGUCUACCGGUGGCAGCUCCGGUCAUCAACAGCAAGUACGCCCUGCGGGAGACGGACCGCCGACUCAACCGGCUCAAGAAGAUGGGCGAGAGCAGCCAGCACUCAGACACACACUCCGUUGGCUCGCACACUGACGCUGAGACUCAGGAAUCACCACAGACACACUCAUCAGCGCAGAAACGCUUCCCCAGCCCCGGCCUGAAGCUGAGCCGGACCCGCAGCAGAACCCAAACACGACAGAACCAGAACUCUCUGUCCAAACCUCCCAGCUCUACCUCACCCGCCAAAGCUGCGACGGUACCCCCAACCACCAGCAGCAGCAGCAGCAACAGUGGGCGUCGGCUGUCCAAGAGGCACCAUCGCUCCCGGUCCAAACGGGCCCCCCACCCCACCGCUCCGGCCCCCACCCCCACCAGCGUCCGGCUGCGCAGCCAAGGCCGCGCGCGAGGCGGGGGCCAGCACAAGACCCCCCCGGCACCCCCGAGGGCCACCCGACUGACGCUCUGCCACAGCAUCAAGCAGGAGGCGCUGGAGCUGGAGCUGGGGGUGGGGGCCGAGCGCGCCUGCGGCUACAGGACUCGUAGGCUGACGCGCACGCUCCUGAAGGAGCAGCAGGAGGCAGCCGACAGGGCGGAGGGUGGGGAGGUCGUGGGGUCAGGGGUCAAACACGAGCCCCACGUUCCGGACACCACGCACCUGGGCGGGAUCGUCAUCAAGACAGAGCCCGCGGACAUGGAGGAGUACCUCCAGCACGGCUCAGGUGUGGCCCCGCCCAGCCAGGACCUCCCAGCCAAUCACAGCAUGCAGGCAGCGCCACGACGGCUGACCCGUCUGCGAUCUGAUAGGACAGUCAAACAGGAAGAGGAGGGGACUCUUUGCCCUCCAACGUUCCCCCCUACAAAGUCUUGCCCCUCCCCUUCCCCGAGCCCUGGGGCGCUCAGCCAAUCAGUCAUUUCGAAAGACUUGAAUCACCGCGGAAACGGUGCUUCGUCGAGUCGCAAGGGGAAGAAGAAGCGCAAGCACCGCUUGGUUCGCUACGACGCGCUGCUCAUCGAGGACAGCAGCGGCAUCCCCAAGCUUACCCUGCGUCGCCGCAACGAUAGCGGCAGUGGGCGGCGGAAGAGUCGGAAGGCCUCAGCGAGCGCGUCAACCUCUCAGAAGAGCCCCCGCCGACCUGCCUCCCCCUCCUCCUCCUCGUCCAAAAUCAGCAUCAAGUUCCGCAAGAAGCGCCACGCCGGCUGGGGCGGCGCCUACGUGGCACACCUCAACAACGGCUUCGGCCCCAACGGCAGCGCCGUCGCCCACGGCAACCACACCAAGCUGAAGAUCCAGCUGAAACGCGAGGAGGAGGAGCAGCAGGUGACGCAGUCGCACACGGCACUUGGCCCCGCCCCCACCACACGCCCCGCGCUCAGUGGCAGCACGCCACCUGUAGGCACCAGAGAGCUGCUGCAGCAGCAACAGCAGCAGCAGCAACGCGACUCCCGCGGCAGCAGGAAACACCGUGCCCACCCGCCCCCUGCCCCUACGCUCUCCUCCUCCUCUUCAGAGGAAGAAGAGGAGGAGGAGGAAGAUGAGGAGGAUGCUGACGACUUUGACGACUUCUUCCCAUUGCCGGCGCCAAAGCGCCUGCGGCUGAUCUUGGGGAAGGAUUCCAUCGACAUUGACAUCUCCUCCAGGAGGAGACAGGACCAGGCGCUCCGCCUCCACACCUGACAUCGCCCCCUCAUGGGUCACAUGACUCCAGCAGGGGCCCUCGGUGCUUAGCACCACCCACAAUCAGCCCCACAGGUCGUGGAAGAUGACCUUUCACAUGCUGAUGUAAGAGGGAAAUGGGAUGUCAAAGGAAGACCGGGUCCAGAGAUGCCCCAUCACCACCCCCACGGUGCUGGAGUGUGUGAGGGCUUUGUGUUCCCAAGACAUAUCCCCCUCCCCACCCUCCCCAUCACAUUCUUACACACACACACACACACACACACACACACACACACACAGGCAGAGUCAGCUCAGACACUACGCGGUACAGGUUGAGGCGUGCUGACGCACAGACACGCACACACGUGACUCCUGUGUGGUCAGUAGGACCCGCACCAAUGAAUAAAUAAAUAUAAAUAAAUCAAUAAAUAUAAUGUGUAUGAGGACACAUGCCAGUACAUCUCUAGCGGCGGUGUAGCAGUGCCCAGACAAGUCUUAGCUAGCAUCACAGAUUGAUUUAGAACUUUCUGAUGGGCACUGUGUGUCUUCUCUGUGGUCCAGAUGACCGGAUCAGCCCUCUUAUCACAUCAUGCAUUUAUAAUAGCCAUGCCUUUUUGAUCGCAUGCGGCAGAUAUGUUGAAAAACUCACCCUCAAAGGACUCGUAUCAAGGAGAAAAUUGGUACACACACACGUUUGGAAUGGUAAUGCUCUUGGAUAUGUCUGAGGGAAUGCAAAGCCCACUGGCACACCCAAACACACUACACACACUACACACACAGGACUCCAAUGGUGCUGUUGGAUAUAUGAUAAUGAACAUGCACACACGGGAGUCAUAGUGGUGCUGUUAGACAUGUACACCUCACACACACACACUCAGCAGGGUGUGACAGCUGACUGAACCCCUCAGACUGUGUGUGUGCGCGAGAGUGAAUUGGUAAAUGAAAACUGUCACGCUGCAUUCUGGUCUGAAAGCUGAAAGGAACCCAAACCUAUGUAGAAAGACAAACAGUACUGGGAGUUGUUGUUGUUGUUCUGUAUAUGGUAUAUCAUUUUGGAUGUUUUUUUUUUUUAUGCCACCAAUUCCAGGAAAAGUGUUUGUUUUACCUGCUGAAGUAACUUAGACUGGUGCAUCUCCCUUCGUCUGUUUUACAGAGGUCCUGGCAGCUCACCUCACGGCCCCCAGUCAGUCAGCAUCCACAGCAAUGUGAACCCCCCCCCCCCAGUACAGCUACAGUAAUCAACCACACAGGAAGUGAUGUAAUGUGAACCCCAAGUACAGCUACAGUAUUCACCACACAGGAAGUGAUGUAAUGUGAACCCCCAGUACAGCUACAGUAAUAACCACACAGGAAGUGAUGAAAUGUGAAUCCCCCAGGGUUGACACUAUAACCACCACACAGGAAGUUGUGGUGGUGGUGGUUGUUGGGUCUGGUAGCACCUGCUUUUACUAUCAUGUAUAGCACAACGUGUAUAAUUCAGCCAUGAGUCAUUUUGACGGAGGUCUUUAGAGGGUACAAUAACCCAGUUCUAAUGGAAGAAUCUAGCACAUAGAACACCAAAAUGCUGAAGGUUGGGUUCUGCACAGUUAGUACAGUAUGUGUGUGAGCUUGGACAUAAAGGAACCCACUGCUGUAGAUGUGGUGUAUUCAUGGGCUUAUAUUGUUUCUCUGCAGUCUGACCAUAUCUCAUCAUGAGUCCAGUUGGAAAGUGUACAAGUUCCUAAUCAUAGACCUGUUGGACUGGAACACUACUGGUUUUAAUAUGCAUCUGAGUCCAGUGCGGACGGUUCCGGUUCCGCUCGGAACCCACUGAACUGGAUCUAUAUGGUUUUUAACAGCAUCACACAGCCAUUUCCACACAGCACUUGGUGCCUUAAGCGACUCCGACUCCAGGAUGCGAACAUCAUCUCCAUCUGACAGGACUCAAGCCCCCAGCAUGGGGAAAUCCUCAUUCACUGUCUGGCCACCCAAAACCCUCUCCCCCAUGAUGUGUGUGUGUGUGUGCGUGUGUGCGUGCGUGCGUGCGUGUGUGUGUGUGUCUAUCUGUUUAUGUAUGUGUGCAUGCGCGCGCAUAUUUUUAUGUAUAUGUGUGUGUGUGUAUAUGCUGAAUGUUUGGACCCCUUUCCCCACAUAGCAGCUGCCUGUGGCUCAGGUCCGAUCUCCUGCUGACCCGGUGCUGAUCUGAUGUGGGUCUGGCACUGACCCGCUAUUGGUCCAAUUAGUCUCAGUUCCAGUCCUCAUAUGGUGUGGGCCUGGUGCUGACCCUGGUACCGUGCUGGUCUGGCCCUGUGCUGUUCUGAGUCUGCUGUUAUCUGGGACCUCUGCUUUUUUGCUCACGCCACCAGCAGUAGGCCCUGUGCGUGCGUCCGUGUGUGUGUGCGAGCGAGUGUGUGUGUGUCCAGACCUACGCUGACUCUUGGCCAGGUCAGAGCCGUAUCUCAGCCAGGUCGCCCCCCCCCCCCCUCCGGCUUUACUUGAUCCUCCAGCUGUCCUCUCCAUUGCCCCUGUACAGACGUCUGUGGGAAAGAUCCCUUUUAAAGACUGUGUGAAUAGUUUGCUGACAAACAAGUGUUACAAGGACACAGGUGACACUGACCCAGAGUUUUGAAGAGACAAAACUGUCUUAUUGUGUACAACAUGCGGACAUAUUGUACUUAUUUAACAGUUUUGAAUACUUGAAAGCAAGAUAAAAGUUUCUUUGCGAGAAAAAAAAAAGCAGUCUCCUGUAUUACUAUGUGUAGAGAAAAAAUACUGUGUAUUUGUGGCCUUUUCCAUGCCUCAUUUUUCUCUUGUUGAUGUCCAGCAGGUUCUUUCAAGAGCAAGAUUGGGAAGGGAAAUUGAAACAUAAAUUGGUCACCCAC